AGUGAACGCUGGCGGUAGGCCUAACACAUGCAAGUCGAACGGCAGCACAGUAAGAGCUUGCUCUUACGGGUGGCGAGUGGCGGACGGGUGAGGAAUACAUCGGAAUCUACUUUUUCGUGGGGGAUAACGUAGGGAAACUUACGCUAAUACCGCAUACGACCUACGGGUGAAAGCAGGGGAUCCUCGGACCUUGCGCGAUUGAAUGAGCCGAUGUCGGAUUAGCUAGUUGGCGGGGUAAAGGCCCACCAAGGCGACGAUCCGUAGCUGGUCUGAGAGGAUGAUCAGCCACACUGGAGCUGAGACACGGUCCAGACUCCUACGGGAGGCAGCAGUGGGGAAUAUUGGACAAUGGGCGCAAGCCUGAUCCAGCCAUACCGCGUGGGUGAAGAAGGCCUUCGGGUUGUAAAGCCCUUUUGUUGGGAAAGAAAAGCAGCAGGUUAAUACCCCGCUGUUCUGACGGUACCCAAAGAAUAAGCACCGGCUAACUUCGUG
rnacentral:rRNA from 1 species